GGCGGGCUGCCCGAGCGGCCAAUGGGAGCGGACUGUAAAUCCGUCGCGAAAGCUACAGAGGUUCGAAUCCUCUGCCCGCCA
rnacentral:tRNA from 1 species